AAAAAUUCAAUUUCUGUUUUUGAAACUUUACUUUUCUGGCAAAUAAAUGGAAUUUCUUUUUAUAAUAAUAUUUGUUUGGGAUAAUUUUCUUUUUAGUUUUGAUGUGAUUUCAGGAGCCUGCCCGAAGCACAGGACGAAUAAAUGGAAAACUAAGCAACAAGGUGAAGAAAUUGAAAGUUGAACAGAUUGAAAAAUAGCAAGUCAGGAGCCCGCCUGCAGAACAGGGUGAAGAAGUUGAAAGCAUAGCAACAAGUUGAUGAAAUAGCAAGUCAGGAACUCGCCUGGAGAACAGGGUGAAGAAAUUGAAAGACAAGCAACAAGUUAAAGAAAUAGCAAGUCAGGAGCCCGCCUGAAGAAUAGGGUGAUGAAACUCAAGUCAAGAGACCAAAAGAAGCUGUAUAGAUAGGAUUUUUUAAAUUUCAUUUAUGCUUUAACUUGUAAUUUUCAUUUUUUUUAAUGUAAUGACAGAGCCGUGAACCGGAAUCUCGAUGGAACCUCACUCCACUCUCCAACUCGGUAUAGUCCAUCUCUUUCCUAUCAUUUGAGAUACCUGUCACUCGAUUCCCUCAUAACUUGGGUAGGUAGGAUAUCCUAAGUCAAGACCCGAUUGUCCUUCUUUCUUUUGUUUUUUCCUUUAAAUAACGGUCGGAACAAAA
rnacentral:lncRNA from 1 species